rnacentral:lncRNA from 1 species
UCGGCCUCUCUCUCUCUCUCUCUCUCUCUCUCUCUCUCUUGCUCGCUCGCUCGCUCGCUCGCUCUCCUCUUUUUUUGUAUUGAUUUCCCCCAAAAACUUUGAAUUUUAGGGACUUUAUACUGUUUUAAACCUCGAUGUAUACUUUACUGGGACUAGAUAAAGAUCUGUUAAUCUUGUAAAAGAGACCAAGCAUAAUGAGUAUGGAUAGAGAAUGUAAAAGACUCUAAAAUCGUCUUUUAGCUUUUUCACUGUGCUGCAAUUAUUGAAAUUUCAUAAGUUGUAGAACUAAGUGCAAUUUAUGCAGUUUCUUCGAGUCUGAGAAGUAAUGUUGUUGUUAAGCAGAUUGUCACCUGGUGAUACCAUGAAGCUAUUGUUAAAUAUUGUGGAAUCAUUAGAGUGUAUUAUUCAGUACUAGGAUUAGUUAGUGCUACAGAUACAUUGUCUCUUUCUUUCUUGAGCCGAGGGUCUACCGGAAUCAGCAUCUCUACUCCUCUGGAGUAGGGGUAAGGUCUACGUACAUACUCUGCUCCCCAGAUUCCACAUGUGGGAUCUCACUGGAUUGUUGUUGUUGUGCUUGUUGUGCUUGUUGACGGAAAUAUAUAGUAAGGCAGCCAUUAUUUUCGCCUUUAGAUUAUCCAUAUUUAGAUGGCCUUCUUUUCAGCAUAUAGUCAUAAGGGAAAAGGGUUCUUUUGGUUUCUUCAACUUCCUUUCUCUUUCAUUGCACGAUCCUUUUCAACACUGCCAAUAGAAUGUGUAUAUUUAGUGAGAGAUGUGUGCAACUACUCAUACCAUUUUCACUAUUUGAUUUUGCAUAUGAGUACUCUCCUCUCUCUCUCUCAAGAGUUUUACUUUUGUUCUUUACGCUCUUGGAACUUAUGAUUUGGUUCCAAAUUUGAAUGGUUAGAGUCGUCAAAUUUUGAGAUGCUGCUUUCUGUGUUCACCUUUUCUUUAUUUUUUUUAAGGGUGGGAGGAAGUUGUGUUCACACCUUUAAAAACUUUUUCAUAAUUUGUGCAUAUAGCUAGCGUGAGUAGCUUAUUUUACUGUUUCUUUUUAUUAAUAUAUACUCCUUCAGCAGGAAAGGGGAUGGGUAGCAACAUCCAUUUGAUUGAAUCGGAUUCUUUUACGUAUAACUUUUAUUAGUAAUGUGGAAAAUUUUCAAGAAUAUAAGUAGUUGACACUGAUCAAUUGGAUUUGUUUGCUUCCUUCAUGUGUGUCAGACUAUUUGCUGCUUUCCUCUAUUGUUUAAGUCUUUUUCAGAAACUAGUUAGCCUUGCCGAAUCCUUCAUUUCAUUGUCAAUUUUGUCCUCUAGUCUUAUCUUUAUUUUAUUAAAUGAAUUUUUUCUUAUCUCGUAUUGUGUAAUAAUUGUUUAAGUCUUUUUCAGAAACUAGCUAGCCUCACCGAAUCCUUCAUUUCAUUGUCAAUUUUGUCCUCUAGUCUUAUCUUUAUUUUAUUAAAUGAACUUUUUCUUAUCUCGUAUUGUGUAAUAGAUGGAACAAGAUCGUAGAUGGAUGUAUGAUAUAAAUCAUCCUAAUCGUAGGGAGUUGAAGGUAGAAUUUGUAGAAGGUGUUAAAGGAUUUAUUGCUUAUGCAAAAACACUUCCUGAAGUCAUCCUGAAG